ensembl:lncRNA
CAUAUAAUCACAUCCAGUGUUUGUUUAACCUACUUCUCAAAUCUGAAUCUUUUAAACUCUAAUAUAAAAAUGUGCCCUAAUUGGUAGCUAUUAAUCAGCAUUAACUUUAACAAAGCUGGCUUAGUGACUUUUUACAACCUAACCAUGAGCCUCUGACCAUAUGAAAUAUUGACUGUUAAUUUGAUGAUUGCAAUGGUGGAUUUAUAGGAGACUGUUUGGUGUCGUAGCUCACAAAUUAUACUGCUAACUUCCGAUGUCUCAUAUUUAGUGGUCCAUUGACAAAAGUCAUAAGUCAUAUUUUCAGGACAUUUCCUUGUUCUAAAACUUCAGCGCUUGUCAUCACUUGAAAGCGGCUUGCAGAUUUCCGAGUACUUGACUCUAUAGUCGGCUUAGCUUUCAUAGAUUGUCAUUAGUCAGACAUCUGAAGCACUUCAGCAGGACCAUUAGUCAACGUGUAGCCAACACCACCCACUUGGACAACAGAGACGGAUGACCUGCCAGUUCCCACUGCAUCUUUCACUCUCCGGAGAAAAGCCAGAGACGGCUUUCGGGAGUGAAAAUAAUCAAGUUUACACCCCUUGUUAGAACCUUGUUUUGGAAUGAAGUGGUUAUUAAUCAGAAUUUAGAAGCCCUGCUCGUUACCUGCUCUGAUUCUGCCGUGUUUCUUCACUAGUUCCGUCAGUUCUCGCAUCGAGCGUGUAACCAGGAUUUUCUCUUUAAAGAUAACGUAUAAUAAUUUCCACUUUUCCUGUUGGCUAUAGGCCCUUUGCCUCCUGUCUGCCUCUGUGGGCUUUCAAUAAUUUUUCACUGGGCAGCGUGUGAUGGAUAGGUUGUAUUUAUUCACUGUUGGGCGUCUGCUAUGUGAAUAUGACUCAUUUCUAGGCAUUACGUAUUCAUGGCUUGGGAUAGGACGUAUACAGGAAGUUAUAAUUAAUGUGUCACAGUGGGAGGUGUUGGUAGACGGCAGGUUUGUUGGAGGGCGUUCUGGAGCAUAAUGUGAUUUACAGUACAAACAACUGGGAGGGUGUUUGUCUGAGUUUAAAAACUGAAAGGCAGUACUUCUUUGUCAUUGCAGACCCUGAUAAGUCUUCCAGCGUAACAAUGUCCUGGAGAACAUAACCAUUCCACACAGGACAAUGUUGCCAACAAUAAUAUCUCCUAUCAUUUUUUUUUUUUUUACCAUGUAUUACCUGUAAAGGCCUAUAAACUUAACUUUUUGCUGCGUAAAUGGCCACGAGUUAAGCAGCUGUUUCACUUGUAAGAAGUUUCACCUUGUGGCAGAAACAUUCCCGUGUUAUUCACAAACAGCCAUGACAGUCAGACCUGGUGCUCAAGCAUUAAAUGAUGUAAUUGAAUUGUCCUCAUCCGUGGGGACAAUAUAGUUAACCUCAGUGAACACUGUGCUCUUACCCCGAUGUGUAUUAAAUACGGCGCAUUGUAGUGUGUUGACGCACAAUUACAAACAUGACUUGUAAUGGAGGUGCAAUGAAAGUCUUGGCAUCACAUCCUAAUAAAAAUAGCAGGUUGUUACCGGAGUUCACCGGCUACUGAGCGGCUAUUCAGAUAAGCACAAGCGCAUACCGCUGUUUGCCAAAUACUGCUCCCUAUCUCCACCUCUGUCUGUCUCCGGUGUGGGCCAAGGUCCUGAGUAAUGGCCAACCGUAAUCACCCCCGGUUUGUUAGUGUGUCUGGCUCAGACCAUUUCCAGGUGCGUGACCUGAUUCUCCUGCGGGGUAGGUGGUCUGAGGAGGCACAGGACCGUUUAUCACAGAGCAAAAGUCCAUUUAGAGGGCAUGUCUGUGUGGAUAUGUACCUGUGUGCAUCUACUGGAAUAAUCUCAAAGUGACAGACACGAUGAUGGUUGUCCUUUCUUUCUUUUUUAUUCACUCUCGUUACUCUUCAGGGUUCUUUCGUUCUCUGUGCCAUUUUGUGUAAAUAUGAGUGGUGCCUUGUAUCCGUUGGUGUCAGCAGAUUAUGAUCCUCCACUGAGCCUUAUAACCUUGUGGGGAGAAGGAGCCUUAAGGCCAAGACAAACAUGGUAAAACCUGUCUGAGACCAGUGCAAAUGGUAAGUGGCAGCAGUUGAAGCUCAAAUGAGCAGUUAACGUAAUCAAAGACCUUUAAAAAAUAAAACGGGAACACCCAGGUUUGAUCAUUAAUGAGCAUUUUUGUGGAUGCUGAAAUAGAAAAUGGAGGACUAAAGUCAUUUGGUCACCAUACGUCUUGUUUUGGGGUUUGAUCUGAGAAUUCAGGAAUGUUCCAGAGACACAGCAAAUAAACUCACUGCUGCUUGAAGGCGAAACCUAGCACUCAACCACGGGCCGUAAGGAAUUAUCCCUGAUCCACAGUUUGGGAAACUUGACGUCCACCUCAAGUCUCAACCCUCUAUUCAUGCUUUUUUUUUUUUUUUUUGAGUGUUAAAAAGGGGUACGGUACCCCACGUAUCUGUCUCACCCCUCCUCUUCCCACCCCCCGUUUCUCCAUCCCUCCUCUUGCCAACAUAUUUUCACUGGCCGUAAUCCUAUUAGAGGCAUUAUGUAGUUUAUUGUUGGAAAGGAUUAGAUUUGGAGAGGAAUAAUAAGUGGGGGUUGAGAUCUGAAUGGGGUCUCUCUCCCUCCUGUUGGCUUUAACCAGAUUUGUUAUUGUAUUAUGUUGUAUAAUCAUAUCUGUUUUCAGAUCGUGCAGUAGUUUGGCUUAAGCUGCUAACGAGACAUUGGUUUUACUGUAAGUCGGCUCUGGUAGAGAUGGUGGGUUUUUCACAUGAAUUUUGGGGCUUAGUAACCGUUUGUUUUUAGGAUUUUGCGGCGGCCACACAUAUGUGACCUUAAUUUGAUAACUAGUAAAGUAUUGCAUUGGGCGGUGGGCUGAAGGGAUUUCUAAGCCGUCUGGGUCCUCCAUCGGGAACACAAAUACCUUCCUUUCGUGGUUCAAAGCGGCUUCUUCUUUACUUCUUUUCUGAAUGUGUUGACUUUGAACACCUGCGGUGAUAUUGUAGAAGCUGUGAUGCUGAUCUUGUUAUCUUUCUCUUCUUUACUUCAAUUGCUUUUAUUGAAUUAUAGAGCAAACAAGCUUCAAAGAUAUCAUAAACUGUGUGCCACAAGCUGUGGUAUUAAUUGAAAAGUAGGUAUAAUUGUCAUAUGGUACGUUUUAGGGAAAGGACAGAAGUGCGAGGAUUCAUUCUACAUUUAAAUCUGAAUUAUUUUCAUAAUACUCGUUUUUUUUCCCCUGUUGAAUUUGAUCUCUGCAGUUAUUAUUUACAGUAAUGAAUUCCCAUGCACCUUCACUAUUGCCUCCUUUUUAACUCCAGCUAUUCUGAAGUCAAUGGGAAAUAUUAAGAUGUGAAAAAAGCAAACUUUUGAUUUCAAGAACCAUAAAUUCAGAGGAAUUUGGUGCCUCCUUCUUUCUUUCAAAUGCAAAACAGCUUGUUAUUUCUAGGAGAUUUUGAAAUGCAUGCUGCCCGACAAAUUUUAAAGACUCAGCACUGCCCUUUUAGGUUAUACGUUUAGAGAUUUCUGUAGUGUUUAUGGUCUGUGAAAUGCACUCUUGGAAAAUGUCCAGUUAUCCAAGGCAGCGUGCACAUUUUAAUUUAAUUUCAACACAUUUCAGAGGCUCCUCAACUCUGCCUCAAAUGUAAUGUGAAAGCCAGAUGCUGCAUUCAGCUUGUGCUGCGUUGGUUUGAGUUACAGGCAAACGCUGAUAGACUGGUUCAACAGGCUUGGUUAUUGCUCAAGUCAAACACAAUCAAAGUGACUUUAAACAAAAUAUGUGCUUGACUAUAAUGAGCUGCUGUAUGCUACAUGUUGUGAUAAUUAUCUGCAGUUAUGUGGUUCACCUGCUUGUUUAAAAGCUGGCAGGCCUUUUCAAAUAGCCUCUGCCUUAUACCCUUGAAAUGUGUUUUUGUACCCGUUCUGUACAUUUACACUCUGUUUAUUCUUUUAUGUGGUUGAGGAAUAUACGCAAUCACUCUCUAACCGCACACGCAUUAACGCUCACACACAUACGUAGCAAUGUCUGCAAUCCAAAUGACGCAAAAGGUCAUUUUUGAUGGCUGUUUCAUGGCUGUCCCAUUUGCUACUGCAAGCAUUGUUUUGGAUCAAUACAUUUCAAAAUGUUCUAUGGUAAAGGCUCAAAUAUCAGGUCCGAGUUGUUCUGAGUUUGCUUGGACUUAAGGUAAGCCUGUUUCGCCUCACUGCAUCUCAAAACAUUUCUUUGAGGGAAAGCACAUAUUUACCUGUUUGACAUCAACUUCCGUGGCUCAGCUUCACGUUGUUCAUGACAUUGAAGCAUCCUGAUGUUUUUUACGAUUGACAGUCAAUGCGUUAUCGUGUAAGUUAAACACAGAUUGGAAUACCUGAUACAACCCUGACAGUCAAAUUACGACAAGCAAAAACAAAAGGUAAGCGCAACUGACUUAAGUCCGCUCCACAGGAGCUGGAACAGGCGGGUUUGUGUUCUGUCAUUAAAUGGAGAAAUCAAUGUAAUGUACAAUGAUUCUGUAGCUUCACAAACAGGAAUCUUUACUGCAAAUAGAACAUCCUCACACGUUGAGUCUUUGACAGAAUAGUUAGAUCGGUGUAGAUAAGUGACAUACAGAGUUUAUUAUGUUGCGCCUGUUGGAUACGGUUUCGUGUUGGGAGAAGUCAUCACAUCUCAAAGUGGCUCUUGCACAAGCUGCUUUUGUUACUUUAUCUGAGGGAUGCCAGCUUAUGGUUCUGGCUGCUGAUUAUUUACAGUGUCCUUGGCAAAGACCCUUUAAAGAACCGAAAAACAAAAAAACUUUAACUCAAUUCAAAUAAGAUGAACAACAUUAACAUUGUUUUAAUGGCUUAUGCACUAAAUAGAGUUUAAAAUACAUAGCUUACUUUUUUUUUUUUUUAGAUCCAAGUAUCGUCCUCACAAAAUCUUCUGCCUCCUAAUUCACUCAAAGAACCAAAGAGGUGUAGUUUUCUGUAACUUUGCAAAAGUCACAUAAUCUGAAGUCACACAAUCUGCAGUAAUGUCACAAUUGACCCCUCAGCCUUUGAUUUAUGUGUAAAGCCAACCGUUGUCACAACAUCUGGUCUCUCUACCAAAUCUGUGCCGUUUGCACAAACUCACUGGUGUUGCCGACCGACUGCAGCUGCUGUGCUCAAAUGUUGAUUCACAAAAAUUGAGCUCUUCACCUUGAGCCAAGCAGUAACUGAUUAGCAGACAUAGAUUGUCUUUGUAGCACUGAUUGAUUCCGUUGCAUGAGAAAGUGGCUUCUGCCUUCUCACAUUGCAGAGGUCAAUCAAUCCUUUCAGUUAGUCACAUCAGAAUUAUUUUUUUUGGCAAACAUUUACAGUUACAUAGUUUAAAAAGCACUUGAAUGUACUAUCCAUGAAAUGUAUUAAAGAAGCAGCAUUCAGCAGGAUGCUCCGAGAAAUAGACAUUCUGCGUUGGAUAUUAGUCCAGUCCCAUAAGGGUUUCCUGUACAACAAUAAUCAGCAUGUUUCUUUGAAAAUGUUCUUUAUUUGAAAAUGUUUCUAUACUGUAAAGGAUUUGCGUCGUCUCCUGCUGUCCUUAUUUAUAAAGCCUGUGAUUACAUCUCUCCUAGAAUUUAAUUAUUUACCGUUCUGCUGUCCUUCAUUGUGAGACAUUUUCUGUAUAAUCAUCUGUUAUGCCUGUUAAGUGCAACACGGGUUAUUCUUUUAUCAAAAUCGUAAUGCUCAAACUAGAAAGAUGAACGUUGGUAACAUUGUACCUGAUUAACAACAACAUGUUAGUCACUGUGUUGUUGCACGACAAUUAAAGUCAUCGUGUUCACAUGCUGACUGAAACUGUCACUGUCAUUCAUCAUAAAUGGCCGUACGUACAAUGGUGAAGAAGUUUGUAAAAGCCUCCAUUUGUAUCAGUCUCUUCAUUACUUCAUGUCAAUGUCACCUCUCAAAGCUAUCUUAACCAUGUUACUAAUCCCCGAGUUAAGUCCCUCGCCACUCCUUUUCCCAGGUCAUCCUCAAUCAUCUACAGUAGUUUAACUACCCAUCAUUAAUCAGGCUGCUUUGCGUUCUGCUGUUUCUGACUGGACGGGCUGCUGGGAGAAAUGCAGUACUCGUAUUUCUCUCUGGCUAAAGCACAGCACACUACAGACCUGAUGUGGAUGAUGCAGCCGGCAAGAUUAAUUGGGCCCAGUUACAGAGGAUCAGCAAGUUUGGAGCUCUUCACAUGCUGCUCCUCCAUAUGGCAGCAGAGAAGUCACAAACUAUGAUUAAUAGUUCAGGCUUCUCUGUAUCUGGUUGUGGCAUUCAUAAUUUAAAUAGUUUUCAAAAACGUUUUGUUCUUACUAAGAAAUGUUUGAUCGCAAAUUCACUUGUAGAACUCUUAAAAACAAAAUGCAAAUCCCAAACAUUGUACGCUGCUUUUAUAACUAAGACGUUACUGGUGAUUUCACCGGUUAAGCAGAUAUGCAAAGCAUUCAUUAACAAGUGCAGCGUGUAAGCUACUUUGCAAAAUUGUCAAGGCCAACUGUAUCAAAGUUGCUCCAAGAAGGGUUGGCCUUGACAUCAAGUUAACUCCUAACACUGCCUCUAUUUUUAGUUCAGAAAACAAAAUUUGGCCUCAUUAUUUUUGGUAUUUAUCUUAUCUUUUUAUAUUUUACAUGACUUUGGCCUAAAAGUGUGUUUCCCAGCAAAAGUGGCUGCAAAUUGCCUCAGGUCUUAUUUGCCUCAGAGGGCCCGUGCGAGGCGGUAGUGUUGUGGUCAGCACUCCAAAGACUCUUUGAAUUGCAAAUCACCGCUGUAACUCAAAAGUAAUGCAGCGGGGAUCCUCACCUCCUGUCAUUUUUCUGCAUUUGGGUGCAUGGGGGGCACCAUUGUAGAGAAAGUGCAGUUAUUGUUUCUGUCUCUGGUGUGACUCGUCCUUAUUGUAGGGAUGACUUGGGCCUGCUCUCUCAACCUCCACGUCUCUAAUGUGCCAGAGGGCUCCCUUGGCUGUAAUAUUGCCCGUCUACGAGCAUUACCGCGUUGUGUAC